CGAUGUGUAACUGCGGCCAUAUUGAGGUAGUACUGUACAGCUAAGCAUUAACCAAUAAGAAUGCGUAGAGAGUAAAACUCAGACAAACAAAUAAACUUCCUGGGUCACUUAUAUCUUUAUAUAUAUAUAUGUAUGAUGAUGUGUAUGUAUCUAUAUAAAUAUAUAUUCAAACAAACUCCAUUCAUCUCCACAGGACCACUAGUCUCCUAAAUAUUACCUUUUGUGUGAGCUUUCUAACUUUUUAUUUAUUUAUUUUUUUUCACCAUUAAUUUCUUUUUAUAUAUUAGUCUUAUUAUGGGAACAAGAAGAUGGAUCUCCAUGCUGUGCUUUUCUUCAUCUAUUUUCAUAGUUUAUUAUUAUUCCUAAAUUUAUCUUUUCUUCGUUCUAUUGCUUUUAUCAUUUUUUCUUUUUGGUCUCAAACAGCCUCAAAGCUCUUGUAUGUACAUAUAUAUAUAUGUGUAUAUAUAUAUAUUUUCUGAAUUUUGUCAUUUUUAAUAUAUCCCUUAGCAUUCACUGUGAUUUUCUUAUUAUUCGGAACUACUCUAUCAUUACAAAAGUGUAUUUAUUUUCGCUUGAUUAAUCUGAGCUCUAGGCUUAACUUUUCUCAUAUCCAGUUGUAGAAACUUUCUUCGAAAUUAAAAAAAAAACCGAAUAGGGUUUUGUUUUUGUUCUCGGAGUCGAGUUGAACAGAACAACAGUCUUCCUUCGAAGUAAUCACUUGACGUUUUAGCCACUCAUAAGACGCCACGUCAUCUCCUACCGUGGGCUUCUCUGUUCAUUUUGCACAUGAAAUCACAAAUUAUUAUUAAUUCUUAAUUCCUUUUCUUUUACUUAUUUAUUUAUUAAUUAAUUAAUAUCAUUUUAUCAUAUUUUUCUUGUUAUAAGCUUCACAUUUUCUGGGCUCAAUCUGUAACAUACACAUAUAUAUAUAUGCAUAAAUUUCUAUAGAAGAAGAAGUUAACCGAUUCUGCAGUCAUCGUUUGCUGGUGUGGCAUCAUCAAGAUUCACAUGCAUAUAAACGCCGGCGAAUCGAGAGAGUGAGAGAAAAUAUGGCUCUAAUCAUUCCAAAUUUUGUCGGUGCCGAAGCUGUUUAGAUAGUGAGAAUCUUGAUGAUGCUGCAUCGGCAAUGAACUGAUGACUAUACUAUGCGAAGACUCAAAAGUGCCCUUUGCCCUCUCAACAACUGGGUUUCGAUUCCUCUUUUGUUUUCUUCGAUCUAUACCUUUGAUCAUCUUGAUUCACUUGGUUUGUCAGGUCAUUCAUGUUAUUGCUCUCAAAGGCCAACAAGAAAAGUUUGCUAUAGCUAGUAAGCUGACUAAUGGCAGAUCUGUGAUUAUUCCUUUAGGAAAUUUUGUUGCUUAGAUUGAAAUGGCAUCUUAUUAGCAAGUACUGAGCUUUUGAUCGAGAUAGAGAGAUGUGACUUUUUCACAAACAGGAAAGCGAGAAUCUUGAUGAUUAUGCAAACAAUCUUUAAAAACAAAAUGGAAAUAAGUAAAAAGAAAUAAAAAUAUUUUUAUAUA